UCCUGCGACAGUAUGUUCGUGGCACUCCCAUUAUCAAUCAGAAUCCUCCUUACUUCGAAGUUAGCCACAACCGCAGAAACGACCAAGGCAUCGUCAUGAGGAUAUGAUAUUCUUUCCAAAUCUCUUGCACCAAAAGUGAUGUCUUUAACUUCAUCACUGGAUUCUCUUGGGGUAUGAACAUGUUGGCGGGCAUACUGCUUCCGCCCACUACUUGUGUCUCCACCGGAUGCUAUGCCCCCAACGAUAAUAUUAAUGGUUCCAGCAGUGGGUUGAGCACUGCUUCCAGCCCUAAGCUCUUUCCGAUUGUCCCGAUCAUUCCUUGGCCGUUUAUCAUGACCAAUGUAAUUCUUUAAAAAUCCUCUUUUGAUAAGGGCUUCAAUUUCCCGCUGUAAAGAAUGACAGUCCUCUGUAGUAUGCCCAUGAUCCCGGUGAAAUUCGCAAUACUUGCUCCUAUCUCUUGUGUCAGGGGGCGACUUCAUCCUUGAAGGCCACUUUAAUUCUUUCAUAUCCUUAAACUCAAUCAAAAUGUUUGUCUUAGAGGUGUUCAACCGAGUGAGAGGUGCUGAUGGCGCCUCGUUCCUGUGCUUAUCCCGAGGAACCUCAUGCCUAGGGACGGGAUCAUGUUGCCUUUUGUUCUCGGUCUUUUCAUGAGAAGGACCAGGUCUCCUUGGAUUUAGUGUUUCCUCCAUAUUGAAGUAUUUUUCAGCUCGGGUGAGGAGCUCAGUCACUGUCUACGGCAGGGUCUUUGAUAAAGAUAUCUUGAAAGCCUCACAUCUUAC
rnacentral:lncRNA from 1 species